AAUAUAAAAUAAAUGCAAUAGCUCUCAUUUUUAAUUACGAGAUCGAAAUUUAAUUGGCGAAGAAGCCGCACGUUGUGGAUUUCAGAACAUGAACAUGGCGUCGCGAGUGUUAUCAUGUGCAGCAACCAUGGUCACUCCCCCGAAGCUCAAUGGCAUGCCUGAAUCUUCUAUGACUUGUUACCCUUCACUACUACUACUGUCUUCAUCUUCACCUUCAAAGGCAGCCGCUAAGGUUACGCUUCGAAUUGGGUCGGUAAAGUGCAAGGCUCUGGGAGAGAGCUCUCAGAAUUCCUUCGAUCGAACGGUCUAUCAGGGAAUUUACGGCCCUUGGACCGUUGAUUCCUCCGAUGUUCGAGAGGUUGUUUUAUACAGAGCGGGGUUGGUGACCGCUGCCUCAUCAUUUGUUGUUGCUGCAUCAACUGCCCUUUUACCUGAAAACUCUUUGUUUGAUAUUAUCAAGCAAAAUCUUGAUCUGUUUUACACAAUUGGUGCUGGUGGUUUGGGCUUGUCUUUAUUUUUAAUUCACAUCUAUGUUACUGAGAUUAAGCGCACUCUUCAAGCAUUGUGGGGACUUGGUGUUGUUGGAUCUUUGGCAACUUACACGAGCCUUGCUCUACCAGCUGGUGAAAACUUGGUACAAUAUGUUGUCAAUCACCCAUCGGCAGUCUGGUUUGUUGGUCCUCUUUUUGCAGCACUAACAGGACUUGUAUUCAAAGAAGGCCUCUGCUAUGGAAAGCUGGAAGCUGGAGUUCUCACAUUCAUUAUACCUACAGUUCUUCUUGGGCACCUGACUGGUUUGAUGGAUGAUGGAGCAAAGCUUACUCUGCUAGGCUCGUGGAUGGUCCUUUUUGUGAUAUUUGCCGGAAGAAAGUUUACUCAACCAAUUAAGGAUGACAUUGGUGACAAAUCUGUUUUCAUGUUCAAUUCUCUUCCUGAAGACGAGAAGAAAACCUUGCUUGAGAAACUUGAGCAACAAAAAGUAUAGUCAGAAUCUUAAGUAGGAAGAGAUGCCAAAACAAACCUUAAUUGGACAGGAAAUUACAUGAACUGGACUGCAGAGAGGUUUUUGAGAUGUUGAAUAUCCUUGAUGAUAUUGGAGAUAGAUCAGUUUGAAGCAGAAGAUUGGUCUUGAAUUGUUGAAAGUACCAAUUGUGAGUCUCCUUCAAAAAUAACCUGAGUGUGUUUGGAUUGAGCCGCCAUUUCCGUGGCUAGGAGAGCUGCUGUUGCUUCAGCGACAAGAGGGUUCUAGGUCUGGAUUUUAUCAGUUUGAAUGCUAUGAUUCAGCCAACGUGAUGUUUCCACUUCAUCAAAAAUACUGAUUUUUUUUUAUUAUUUUUUUUAAAGUUUUCCGUCAGAUUUGAAUUUUAGAUUUUAUAGUAACACUUGAUUUAAAACAAAGUCGUAAAGAGUUGUGUAUUAGUGCUUGUA